CCAAGCAGCACCACCCACUCACGCCUUCAACCUUGGCCGUGUUGCUUCUGCUGCGGCAACCACAGCCUUGGCCCUACUCCAAAGACUGUUCCUUCUCACUUGAGUCAUUUUCAUAAGCAACUGCUGAAAACUGGAAAGGCAAGGCUCGGUCUAUACCCUCUUGGCCACGGAAGAGAGAGGACCUCAAAAUGAAAGCAGAGCAUUUUUUCUUAAGGCUCCUGCCAGGAAUCCACAGUCGGCUGUGAGAUCCCACUAGAGCCGGAGGCACCACACCUGCUCUCCCUGGAUCUGCAGCUCCAUCAGGGAUCAGCCUUGGACUCAGCACCCCUUCUUACAGAUAUCUGGGUACUACGGCCCAGCCAAACCGACACAUGGAAUCAAACACCGUAGGUGCCAUGAACUGACCUCGAUCCUGGGCGACGGGAGUGACGGAGACAGACUGGAGCUCUUACAUUCCAGGGCGGGAAAAGAAACACACGGUGCACACAUAUAUGCCAGGUGAUUAAUCCUAAUGCUACGAAGAGACAUAAAGCAGGUGAAGUGAAAGAAACCGCUGAAGGUUGUCGUUCCUGGUAGGUUCGGUCAGAGAGGGUCACCCUGGGAAGAUAACGCUGCAGCAGAGACCUACAUGAAGUAAAGAAGCAAGUCGUGUGAGUAUGUGGGCUGAAGAACAUUCUAGGCUGAGCGCAAACAGCAAGUGCAAAGGCCCCGUUUACAGGAAGGUUGGGAGCACGUCCCCUGCUCACAGACCGAAGGUCCACCAGCCUCUCCCUCCGAGAGAAUCUCCCCUCCGAUACGCUCUGUCCACCCCUUCCGAUCCCCGACAGAACACCCAGGAGCCCAGGCUUCCAGGAAACAAAAGCUAAGAAGGAAAUUGGUCUGUGAGCAACUUCUCUGUUGGCGAUAUGAUCUGCCUGAGCAAGACUUGGAUACUUCCUUGGAGAGGAGCGAGAGGAGCGAGGCGGGGAACAUACAACAAAUCAAAAAUUAAUUUCUCAAAACAUGAAACAGCCACAGGAACAGCUGCUCCCCAUCCCACCCCUGACUCCCAUGGGGCAAUUCGGGCAGAUUUGGAGGUGAGGAAGGGACACAAGGGAAGGAGAAGCAAGAGCCCUCCCGUUUUUUGAACUCUCGGAUUCAGAAGAAUUCACAGACUUCCGGGCCAAAGUCUAGCCUUGACUUUGGCCCCUCGGGCAGGAAGUCCAGCAGAGACUGAAAGCCCGCGGCUGGGCGGAGGGAAAUGCGAGGGGGGGACCGGCCGCCACCCCGCCCGCCAGCGUCACCGAGCGCCCUGGACAGAAGCCUGAGGGGCCUGCUGCACCGCCGGCCUGCACCCUGAGGGGGAGCCUCCGUGAUCACAGUGACCACCCCUCGGGGGACAGGAGUCGGCAAGGGGCCCUGGCCUCCCCACGCCCGAGUUGUGACGUGAGGUGGAAAAGCAGGAGGAGACGCACACUGACGCCAGGGCCUCCCGUGGGAAGGCUGAGCCUGCAGCCAGAGGCCGCAGCGGGGAGGGGGGCGGCGGCUCCAGGAAGGGGUGGUGACCAGGUCGGUGCCCCCUGAGCCCUCUCCCUCCCUCCCUCCUACAUUGCAGCUCCAGCACCCACCCCCACGCACACGCACACACACACAUGCAUGUGCACGCACGCAUGCACACACGCAGGCAUGCACACCCACCUCCCCACGCACACACAAGCACGCACGCAUGCACAUGAGCACAUGCAUGCAUACCCACACACGUGCAUGCACAAGCACACACAUGCAUCACACGCACCCACACAUGCAUGCACGCACCCACAUACGCACGUACACAUGCAUAUGUGUGUGCACACAUGCAUGCACAUGCACACACAUGCACGCACACACCCACACAUGCACACACAUGCAUGCAUACACAACACCCACACACAUACACAUGCACUCACACCCACACAUGCACGCACACACACCCAUGCAUGCACACGCACGUACACAUGCACACACAAACACACCCAUGCACAAGCACACACCCAUGCACACGCACACACUCACAGCCCCUGGAAAGGACGGUAUCUGGAAAAUCAUAACCAGUGCCGUUGAACAAACUAGUCACGCUGUCUCCCUGGUGCCAGGUGUCCUGCCAGCGCAGGGGACGCCGAGACAACCAAGCUGACCCAAGACUGUGGUGUGAGAACUGGUGGCCCCAGUUGGGAAUAGAGCGUGGCAAGUGUAGGUGGGCAAAAAGGUUAAUUCGGCCUCGGGGGCUGUGGAGGGGGGCAGAUUUCCCCGCGAUGUGACCCCAAUCCUGGGGGACUGAGGAGGAGUGUGCGAGCCAACGGCUCUGUGAGGGCAAGAUGCACGGCUGUUCCCAGGGUGCAGAAGGGCCGGUGCCUCCGGCAGGACAGAGCUGGACCUUUAUCCCCAAGGAAUCCAAGUCCAACUGGAGGCACUCCCGCAAAGCCCCCGGCUCAGCAGCACCUAGAGGGACAGCCUGUCGGGGACGGAGCAGGAGGCCAAGGCCCCGGAAGGAGGAGGCAUUCUGAGCAGGACCGAGCGCAAUUCCCGGGCUGAGGGGACAGCCAGGUGGGGGAUGCACGAUCAUCCCCUGGGACCGCGCCCAGGCUUCUGACCCGGUUGGAGGAAAAUGGGCUAGGCCAAGGCCCCUGAGGUCAGGGCUGGGGCUGUCGCGGUCGCCGCCGUCCCUGGCCUAGCACAGCGGCCUCCACCGGCAGGUCCCAGGCACCGCCGUGGACCAACCGCACAGAGGAAGAGGCCAAGUGGAGACAAGGAGCCCUCCCAGCACCUUAGGGAGCGCAGAGCGCUCCACCCUGGGAACAGCUGCGUGUCCCAAAAGGGCACUUCACACCUGGGGGGGAGCCCUGCUGCGGGAUGUCUGGCAUCAUCACAGAAACCAUCUCCAGUGGGUGGCAGGGUGGCACCUGCCACAGCCGCUGCUCCGUCCUGCCCUCGGGCAAGGGCCCCGCAGUGGGUGCAGCCAGCAGCCUCCAGGGAGAGGUGAGGCCGGCAGGAGGCCGAGGGCACGCGACUUCGGCAGGACGGGCGAGAGGAGGCCCCAAAAGAGCUCAGAUCUAUCACCAGCAGGAAAUCCAUGACUGGGUCUGAGGCCAGGAGACAGAUGCACAAGACAAUUCUGUGCGUGGCGUCUUCCCUUGUCGUUGCAGCCAGUGGCCUGCCAGGGCGGUGUCGCUCCGUGUUAGAAACCUGCCAUCCCUUCAAGGUCCCCGUAGACGCCCCGGCAUCGGGUCUGCUGUGUA